rnacentral:rRNA from 1 species
UACAGAGGUCUCAAGCGUUGUUCGGAUUUAUUGGGCGUAAAGGGUGCGUAGGCGGCGAGGUAAGUCUGGUGUGAAAUCCUGGGGCUCAACCCCAGAAUUGCACUGGAUACUGCUUUGCUAGAGGACUGGAGAGGAGAUUGGAAUUCACGGUGUAGCAGUGAAAUGCGUAGAUAUCGUGAGGAACACCUGUGGCGAAAGCGGCUCACUGGACCACAACUGACGCUGAGGCGCGAAAGCUAGGGGAGCAAACAGG